GGACGAGCUGCCAGCAAGGAGCCGAGGCGUGUAAAAGCGAGGAAGAGGGGUGAGUAGCACGGAACGACCAGCCGGGCUGAGCUGCUGAGACGGUUGCAGUGGGAGUGCACACGAGCAAACGUCUGAAAUGGCAUCUGAGGGAGAUAAACUUUGGGGGGGAAGAUUCAGUGGAAGCACAGAUCCCAUCAUGGAGAUGCUCAACUCUUCCAUUGCCUGUGAUCAGAGACUAUCUGAAGUUGAUAUCCAGGGGAGCAUGGCUUAUGCCAAAGCCUUGGAGAAGGCUAGCAUCCUAACCAAAACUGAGCUGGAGAAGAUCCUGAGUGGCCUGGAAAAGGUACUUAUUUCCUUCAUAAACUGUAAUGCAUGCUCAGGCCUACAUACAAUUCCUACAUUACUACUAUGAUGAAUAGCUCCUUGUCUGAAAAUAUCCCUGAGUUGACACACUAAAAAGCAUCCUUCUCUCUCCUCAUGUCCUAUUGCUUUUCCCGUGUGAAAGUGCUUUCCCAAAAGGUCCUAGACCAGGGAGAACUGGAGAGGCCUGUAUUUUGCACUCUGUACUCUUGUACUCUAGCAGACCUGGACACAGACUGAUUGACAGAUUCCAUCUAGCUAAAGGUACCGAAGCCAGGCAGUAGGAUAUCAACCAGUUGACAAGCCAGAAGGGAGAACCUGAAGCCCCAGUGAGUGCAUUGUGAAUGCUCACUAUGGAAACCUGGUGCCUCUGUGAGGUGUGCUCAGCAUGA